rnacentral:misc_RNA from 1 species
GAUGAAGAACGUAGCGAAAUGCGAUACGUAGUGUGAAUUGCAGAAUUCAGUGAAUCAUCGAAUCUUUGAACGCACAUUGCGCCCUUUGGUAUUCCAAAGGGCAUGCCUGUUCGAGCGUCAUUUGUACCCUCAAGCUUUGCUUGGUGUUGGGCGUCUUUUCUCCAGUCCGCUGGAGACUCGCCUUAAAGUCAUUGGCAGCCGGCCUACUGGUUUCGGAGCGCAGCACAAGUCGCACUCUUUUCCAGCCAAGGUCAGCGUCCAACAAGCCUUUUUUCAACUUUUGACCUCGGAUCAGGUAGGGAUACCCGCUGAACUUAAGCAUAUCAAUAAGCGGAGGA